AUUGUACAGCAAUCAGAUAAAAACGUUAAAUGAAAAUUUAUUCAAAGGUUUGACUUCUCAAGACUUGACCUUAAACAGCAAUCAAAUUACCACAAAUGACCAAGCUAGAUGGGAAUUUAUUUCAAGGCUUGACUGCUCUUCAACACUUGGAACUGGACGGCAAUCAGAUUACCACAUUAGAAUCGAAUUUAUUCUAAGGCAUACGGCUCCUGAAAUCUUGAAAAACAGAGUCAGCAGUACCGAUGUCACUUAGAACUUAUAGAAAAGUGUGUCUUAGACCAAAAGUUGAUUGCGGGGCGUUUUUAAGAGUAAACACAUAACAAUAUAAAGCUAUUAAUACAUGUCAUCCUUUUAAUUUCCCUUGUAAAUAUAUAUGUGUCAUAUAUACUAGUAUGUGCACGAUUGUAGAUAUUUUAGAAAUAAAAUGUACUGUAUCAUUAAUCUGUGUUCUAGACUAUAUCUUUUUGGACUACAAAAGUUUUCGAAAACAAUUGAUUUUGUGGUUUCAGACAAAACUGGGGUUUUUGUAUUUUAAAAUUCUAAAUGUUUUGUAAAUAUUGGAAUUAUAAUGUCGGUCCGUUAUAAUUUAUUUGAAUACUAUA